AACGAACGCUGGCGGCAGGCCUAACACAUGCAAGUCGAGCGAGGACUUCGGUUCUAGCGGCGGACGGGUGAGUAACGCGUGGGAAUGUGCCCUUCUCUACGGAAUAGCCCUGGGAAACUGGGAGUAAUACCGUAUACGCCCUAUUGGGGAAAGAUUUAUCGGAGAAGGAUCAGCCCGCGUUGGAUUAGGUAGUUGGUGGGGUAAUGGCCUACCAAGCCGACGAUCCAUAGCUGGUUUGAGAGGAUGAUCAUCCACACUGGGACUGAGACACGGCCCAGACUCCUACGGGAGGCAGCAGUGGGGAAUCUUAGACAAUGGGGGCAACCCUGAUCUAGCCAUGCCGCGUGAGUGAUGAAGGCCUUAGGGUUGUAAAGCUCUUUCAGCUGGGAAGAUAAUGACGGUACCAGCAGAAGAAGCCCCGGCUAACUCCGUG
rnacentral:rRNA from 1 species